rnacentral:rRNA from 1 species
CCCUUAGAUGUUCUGGGCCGCACGCGCGCUACACUGACGAAUGCAACGAGCUUAUAACCUUGGCCGAAAGGUCUGGGUAAUCUCCAAAUUUCGUCGUGAUGGGGAUAGAUUAUUGCAAUUAUUAAUCUUCAACGAGGAAUGCCUAAUAAGCGCAAGUCAUCAGCUUGCGUUGAUUACGUCCCUGCCCUUUGUACACACCGCCCGUCGCUCCUACCGAUUGAAUGGUCCGGUGAAGCGCUCGGACCGCGGCCUCUUGACGGUUUUCCGUCGAUUGGCUGUGGGAAGUUCGUUAAACCUUAUCAUUUAGAGGAAGGAGAAGUCGUAACA